CUAUGGAGCUUUAAACACUUAAGUUACUAUCUUACUUACCGACAAUCUAAAGACUUAACCUACCCUAAUAGUAACCUAACUUAAUGUUUUCGGUUGGGGCGACCAAGGAGUAAAAGAAAACCUCCUUAUCGAUUGAGUAUUUUUACUUAAAAAUCAGAACGACAGCUCUGAUCAAUAGAAUAUCUAACGAGCAAUGACCCAGGGUUAUACCCUGAUCAAUGAACCAAGUUACCCUAG
rnacentral:rRNA from 1 species